rnacentral:rRNA from 1 species
GACGAACGCUGGCGGCGUGCUUAACACAUGCAAGUCGAACGGAAAGGCCCUGCUUUUGUGGGGUGCUCGAGUGGCGAACGGGUGAGUAACACGUGAGUAACCUGCCCUUGACUUUGGGAUAACUUCAGGAAACUGGGGCUAAUACCGGAUAGGAGCUCCUGCUGCAUGGUGGGGGUUGGAAAGUUCCGGCGGUUGGGGCUGGACGCGCGGCUGAUCAGCGGGCGGGGGGGGUGGUGGCGUACCGAGGCUGUGCCGGGUCGCCGGCCGGCGCGGGGGGGCGGCCGCAGUGGGGCUGAGAGACGGCGCAGACGCGUACGGGAGGCAGCAGUGGGGAAUAUUGCAGAAUGGGCGGAAGCCUGAUGCAGCAACGCCGCGUGCGGGAUGACGGCCUUCGGGUUGUAAACCGCUUUCGCCUGUGACGAAGCGUGAGUGACGGUAAUGGGUAAAGAAGCACCGGCUAACUACGUG